rnacentral:rRNA from 1 species
UACGAAGGGGGCUAGCGUUGCUCGGAAUCACUGGGCGUAAAGCGCACGUAGGCGGAUUCUUAAGUCGGUGGUGAAAUCCUGGAGCUCAACUCCAGAACUGCCUUCGAUACUGAGAGUCUCGAGUCCGGGAGAGGUGAGUGGAACUGCGAGUGUAGAGGUGAAAUUCGUAGAUAUUCGCAAGAACACCAGUGGCGAAGGCGGCUCACUAGCCCGGUACUGACGCUGAGGUGCGAAAGCGUGGGGAGCAAACAGG